rnacentral:lncRNA from 1 species
AGCCAAGCUCUGAUAAAAGCAAUCUGGAAAUGGCAAAGAGGGUAUGGGGGGUUGGGGUGAGGGAACAAGUGGACCCUAGAAACGCUGACAGCUAUGUAAUUUGUAGCUGUGUGAAAAUAAAAACCCAGAAACAGUGUCCAUUGGCAAGGACACGGGCCACUAAAGAAGCCACGUGAAGGAGGCUCCCAGCAUUCCCUACUCACACUAGACUGCAAAGAGUCAUGAGCUCCACUAAGGCGCUGAACGUUCUGAACAACAGACAAGUCCCUGCGAUAUUCUUUUUGAUGGCAAACACCCUGAAAACCCCAAGAUAACAUCACAUACCCUGAAGACCAAGGUCUCUCUAAACUCGUGAUCCUUGGGACUCUGCCUAGUGCCUGGCACGGAGCAAGGAACACAGGCGCUGGGCUCUCUGACAGAUGACUACCUGGUUUGCUCACUGUAUCACUGAGGAGCCCACGGGGAGGUACACACAAGCCUUGUUUCAAUAAAAAGAAACAAAAGACGUGGA